AGUAAAACAACGAAGAAGAUGUGGACAGAAAUUAUGGUGGCUGUGUUGGUCAGCUUUCUUGGAAAGACUGAAGACAGCGGUCCUCACGGAUUUUGCGGCUUUCCAUGUACGCUUCAUAAUAAAACCUAUGACCUUUGCUCUUGUGACGUAGACAAUGUAAACCAAACAUAUAGUGUAGGAGGUAAUGAUACUACUGUGUUUACGGAAAAUUUCGGUGGUGAAAAGAAAACUGACUGGGAAUGUUAUACAAGAAGUGGACGGUUUUAUGUAGUACGACGACGUAUUGAUUAUGAUGUAUUCGCAUACCGUUGUAUGAGGGACAUAAUGUACAAUACCGAUAAAGAUAUAAGAGUAUAUUGUAUGUCAGAAUGGGCAUCAUUUGAAGGUAAUCCUUCUCUGUGUGAUGUCUGUGAUGGAUCGGCAUUUGAUAAGGACAAACGUUUGAUUAUCAAAGAGCAAAGUGAAG